rnacentral:rRNA from 1 species
AUGGCGAGCGGGUCUUUCCUGCUCCCUCCGUCCCUACUGGUUCUCGCAGCUAGCUCGGAGAUGGUGAAGAUCAUCUCCGCCGCGCCCAGCCUCGCCGGACCGUUCCUCUGGCUUCAUUUCCACGACUGCUUUGUUAGGGGCUGUGACGCGUCUGUGCUGCUGGAUUCCACCAAGGGCAACCUGGCAGAGAGGGACGCCAAGCCCAACAAGAGCCUGCGAGAAUUCGGCUCCGUGGAGCGGGUGAAGGCCAGGCUCGAGGCCGCAGGCCCGGGCAUCGUCUCCUGCGCCGACGUGCUCACACUCAUGGCCCGCGACGCCGUCGUCCUGGCCAAGGGCCCCUCCUGGCCCGUGGCGCUCGGCAGGAGAGACGGCAGCGUGUCCAGUGCCACGGAGGCGAGCGACGUCCCUCUACUCACCCGGAUUUUCGCAUCCAAGGGUCUCGGCCUCAAGGACCUCGUCGUCCUCUCCGGCGCCCACAGGCUCAGCACGGCGCACUCCCCGUCGUUCGCCGACCGGCUCUACAACACCACCGACAACGGCCUCGUCGACCCGUCGCCGGACAGCGAGGGGCUCUUCCGCUCUGAUGCCGCGCUGCUCACUGACGCCACCACCGAGGAACACGUCCGGUGCGUCGCUACAGGUAAAUUCGACGACGCGUUCUUCAGGGAUUUCAGCGAGUCCAUGGUCAAGAUGGGCAACGCCGGCGUGCUCACCAACGGCGACGAAGACAUACGUCCUCAACUAGAGAAACUACCAGCGGAUUAA